rnacentral:tRNA from 1 species
GGGGUUGUGGCUCAGUGGUAGAGUGCUCACCUAGCAUGUGUGAGGCCUUGGGUUUGAUCCUCAGCACCA